UGGGGAAUAUUGCACAAUGGGCGCAAGCCUGAUGCAGCCAUGCCGCGUGUAUGAAAAAGGCCUUCGGGUUGUAAAGUACUUUCAGCGGGGAGGAAGGCGAUAAGGUUAAUAACCUUGUCGAUUGACGUUACCCGCAGAAAAAGCACCGGCUAACUCCGUGCCAGCAGCCGCGGUAAUACGGAGGGAGCAAGCGUUAAUCGGAAUUACUGGGCGUAAAGCGCACGCAGGCGGUCUGUCAAGUCGGAUGUGAAAUCCCCGGGCUCAACCUGGGAACUGCAUUCGAAACUGGCAGGCUAGAGUCUUGUAGAGGGGGGUAGAAUUCCAGGUGUAGCGGUGAAAUGCGUAGAGAUCUGGAGGAAUACCGGUGGCGAAGGCGGCCCCCUGGACAAAGACUGACGCUCAGGUGCGAAAGCGUGGGGAGCAAACA
rnacentral:rRNA from 1 species